rnacentral:misc_RNA from 1 species
UCAAUAAAGAGACAGAAAGCGCAAAUAUUAAAUGGCUGCCACUGUCUGCAAUCACCAUCAUCUGCAGACCCUGUUAAAUACAUAGCUAUACUUGGUUACUUGUCUUUUAUAUUUUUCUUCUUUUCCUCUUUUGGCCUUCAUUGUGGAUGUUGGAAAACAGCAGAAUUUCUUUGCACCAUAGUUCCAAUGAGUAAUCAUUAAUGGAUCAUCAUGUACUGUGUGUGAGUGAUGUUGCCUACUUGCCAUGGCUUAAGAAAUGUUGAUGGUUCAGUUCAGGUGUAGAUUAUAUGUUACAUUCUCG